UAGCUGCAGCAGUGGAAGACAGUGAUUGGCUCCAGGGCUCCUAGAAGGAUUUGGGCUGAAGCCAGGGGAACAGAACCAGAGGAUUCCCUUUCCAGGGACCAUCAGGCAGCUCUUGUCUUGUCUUUCUUUUCUCCCCUCCUGGGUGCUCAGGAGCUCAGCAUGGCUCCAGCAGUCCAUAGAGUUAGCUGACAUGGUCAACAAAUUUAUCAAAGAAAACCCCUGGCUUUUGAAGAAUAGUAUUUUAUACAUCUGGAUCUGCACACCCAGGCAAAGCUCAGAAAUAUCCGUUUAUUCUUUAACCACACGGAUGUGUCUAUUUUUGGAGGAAGAAGGAAACAUAAAUGCCUGAGUUGCAUUUGUGCUGUAGUUACAAACACCGAACAGUUAAGAAGAUUUUGCCAAAUUUUGCAAAGCAGCCAACAAGCCGUCUUGGGAUCCUGGUAAUAAAAGUGGAAAGAACCUUGCUGUCUUUUGGCAAUAUUUUGGACAUCUUUGAAAACAGCAAACUAUGCCUUGAUUUGACUAAGAAGAGGUUAAACCAUAUUGAUAUUCAUCCAAAGUGAUUUUGUUGAAGCAGAUGCUUGGCUUUCAUGGAAAAAAUGGGAGUUGUGGAAGAUUCACCUAAACUACCAACCAAAAGCAUCACAGACCAAUGAAAUAGCCUGCAACUUACAUCAGCACUUUCUUUUCAUUGUUGUUACGUAAAACCUCUGGAAGCACCUUGGGCGUUUUACAUUUUUCUUUGCUGCAGAAGGAAGCAAUCUGUUCCCUGGAAUUCUGAUCUGUUGUGAACAGGACCGUGGCAAAGGCUGUGUUGGGGACUCUUGGACAUCCCGCCUACAAUCCAGCCUGGUUAAUUGUGAAAAGUGUACACAUUUCUGGCUUAUCUAUGCUUUGUUAUGGGUCUGACGUGAAACUACCUCCUCCCCACCCCACCCCCCAGCAGAAAACCGAAAUCCAGUUGAAUUGUUACACUGUUUCGGAGCUGGAGCCUUGAACUGUUUCCUUGGUUAAAUAACUUUGUUUCUGGUUGUAAAAAGGCAUUUCAGGGGGGAAAAAAUAAGGAAAAUCGAGAGAAAUUCCAAACGUAAGUCUGUACUGGGGUGGGGGGGUUCACCGCGCGGUUUAACUUUGGAGCUCGGAGCCGGUCUCCUUCCCCACUCCCAUAAGGGAAAUACCAGGCUAUUCUGCACAUUUUCGCUUAAGCUCCAUUUUCCAAAGGAAAAGUGGGUGGGGUAUAUCUAUUUGGACUUGAUAAUGUUUUAAAAAUGCUUUUCUUUGAAAGGAUAAUAGCUGUAUCGGUAAAGUGCAAAUAAAGCAAAAAUAGGCAAUAUUUCUUUAAAGG